rnacentral:rRNA from 1 species
GAUGAACGCUGGCGGCGUGCCUAAUACAUGCAAGUCGAGCGAACAGACGAGGAGCUUGCUCCUCUGACGUUAGCGGCGGACGGGUGAGUAACACGUGGAUAACCUACCUAUAAGACUGGGAUAACUUCGGGAAACCGGAGCUAAUACCGGAUAAUAUAUUGAACCGCAUGGUUCAAUAGUGAAAGACGGUUUUGCUGUCACUUAUAGAUGGAUCCGCGCUGCAUUAGCUAGUUGGUAAGGUAACGGCUUACCAAGGCAACGAUGCGUAGCCGACCUGACAGGGUGAUCGGCCACACUGGAACUGAGACACGGUCAAGACUCCUAAGAGAGGGAGCAGUAGGGAAUCUGACGCAAUGGGCGAAAGCCUGACGGAGCAAGGCCGCGUGAGUGAUGAAGGUCUUCGGAUCGUAAAACUCUGUUAUUAGGGAAGAACAGAUGUGUAAGUAACUAUGCACGGCUUGACGGUACCGAAUCAGAAAGCCACGGCUAACUACGUG